rnacentral:rRNA from 1 species
AUGAACGCUAGCUACAGGCUUAACACAUGCAAGUCGAGGGGCAGCAUCAUCAAAGCUUGCUUUGAUGGAUGGCGACCGGCGCACGGGUGAGUAACACGUAUCCAACCUGCCGACAACACUGGGAUAGCCUUUCGAAAGAAAGAUUAAUACCGGAUGGCAUAAUUAUUCCGCAUGGGAUAAUUAUUAAAGAAUUUCGGUUGUCGAUGGGGAUGCGUUCCAUUAGGCAGUUGGCGGGGUAACGGCCCACCAAACCUACGAUGGAUAGGGGUUCUGAGAGGAAGGUCCCCCACAUUGGAACUGAGACACGGUCCAAACUCCUACGGGAGGCAGCAGUGAGGAAUAUUGGUCAAUGGACGAGAGUCUGAACCAGCCAAGUAGCGUGAAGGAUGACUGCCCUAUGGGUUGUAAACUUCUUUUAUACGGGAAUAAAGUUAGCCACGUGUGGCUUUUUGUAUGUACCGUAUGAAUAAGGAUCGGCUAACUCCGUGCCAGCAGCCGCGGUAAUACGGAGGAUCCGAGCGUUAUCCGGAUUUAUUGAGUUUAAAGGGAGCGUAGGCGGGUUGUUAAGUCAGUUGUGAAAGUUUGCGGCUCAACCGUAAAAUUGCAGUUGAUACUGGCGACCUUGAGUGCAACAGAGGUAGGCGGAAUUCGUGGUGUAGCGGUGAAAUGCUUAGAUAUCACGAAGAACUCCGAUUGCGAAGGCAGCUUACUGGAUUGUAACUGACGCUGAUGCUCGAAAGUGUGGGUAUCAAACAGGAUUAGAUACCCUGGUAGUCCACACAGUAAACGAUGAAUACUCGCUGUUGGCGAUAUACGGUCAGCGGCCAAGCGAAAGCAUUAAGUAUUCCACCUGGGGAGUACGCCGGCAACGGUGAAACUCAAAGGAAUUGACGGGGGCCCGCACAAGCAGUGGAUUAUGUGGUUUAAUUCGAAGCAACGCGAAGAACCUUACCAGGUCUUGACAUCCAACUAACGAGAUAGAGAUAUGUCAGGUGCCCUUCGGGGAAAGUUGAGACAGGUGGUGCAUGGUUGUCGUCAGCUCGUGUCGUGAGAUGUUGGGUUAAGUCCCGCAACGAGCGCAACCCUUAUGGUCAGUUACUACGCAAGAGGACUCUGGCCAGACUGCCGUUGACAAAACGGAGGAAGGUGGGGAUGACGUCAAAUCAGCACGGCCCUUACGUCCGGGGCUACACACGUGUUACAAUGGGGGGUACAGAAGGCAGCUACACGGCGACGUGGUGCUAAUCCCAAAAGCCUCUCUCAGUUCGGAUUGGAGUCUGCAACCCGACUCCAUGAAGCUGGAUUCGCUAGUAAUCGCGCAUCAGCCACGGCGCGGUGAAUACGUUCCCGGGCCUUGUACACACCGCCCGUCAAGCCAUGAAAGCCGGGGGUACCUGAAGUACGUAACCGCGAGGAGCGUCCUAGGGUAAAACUGGUGAUUGGGGCU